rnacentral:rRNA from 1 species
GAUUAACGCUGGCGGCGCGCAUAACACAUGCAAGUCGAACGAUGAAACUUAAAUGAUUUCUUCGGAAUGAACUUAAGUGGAUUAGUGGCGGACGGGUGAGUAACGCGUGAGUAACCUGCCUUACACAAGGGGAUAGCCGUUGGAAACGACGAAUAAUACCCUAUGAAACUAUCACUUCGCAUGAAGCGAUAGUCAAAGUGUUAGCGGUGUAAGAUGGACUUGCGUCUGAUUAGCUAGUUGGUGAGAAAAAAGCCCACCAAGGCAACGAUCAGUAGCCGGCUUGAGAGAGUGUACGGCCACAUUGGGACUGAGACACGGCCCAGACUCCUACGGGAGGCAGCAGUGGGGAAUUUUGCACAAUGGGGGAAACCCUGAUGCAGCGACGCCGCGUGAUUUAGAAGGCCUUCGGGUUGUAAAAAUCUUUUGUAUAGGAAGAAAAUGUCAGUACUAUACGAAUAAGGUCCGGCUAAUUACGUG